GGGCCCCGGGCUGCGCGUUCCCCGCGCCCACGGGCGCGCGCGUGCCUGCGUGUCCGAGUCCCUUGGCCGCGGCCGCUGGCACGCUAGCCGAUUGCUUCCCUAGCGGUUUCCAAAGUGACUUCUGCGAGCCCCACAGCGCCGUCGCUGACGUGCAAGGCUGUGGGGACUUUAGGGCAGGAGUUCCUGUUCUGUCCCGAGGGUAGAUAGACAUGCCUUCCCAGGGAGCAAGGUCUCCCCAUGUGUCCUAGGCAACUUGGCCGUUUAGGAGCCCAGGGAACGGGUUGUGAAGUGCCACUCUUCAGAGGAUGCGCUUCUCGGUCCCUAGUUCUUUACUGAGUGCCAAGCACCGUGCUGGGGAUAGUGGAGAAGACCCUCGGAGGACCUUUGUUAAGGGCUCCUAUUGCCAGGCGGCCCCUUUUCUCUGGCUAUAGACUGAUGGCUGACGCAAUGCUAGAACAAGAGUGCUCCAGAGCAUGAUGACAGGUGCCUGCAGUCACACGACGGGCCUCUCGGCAGCAUCGCCAGGUUCCCCUGGAUGAUUUCCAGGGACUUCUACCUUAGAUCAUCUUGUGCUGCCUUCUGGGAAAGGGUCACUCCAGCCGUUUAGGAAAACCAGCUUUCCACUGCAGAACAUAAAGGCAAAUGAAGCCAGCCAAAGCAAUAAAAGAACACUUUAUAAUUCCAAAUCAUUAAAUUGAAAAAUAUUUCGAUGGUGCGA